rnacentral:tRNA from 1 species
GUCGUUGUAGUAUAGUGGUAAGUAUUCCCGCCUGACACCUGGGGUGACUCGCGUUUGAUCCCCGGCAACGGCG